UGAGGAAUAUUGGGCAAUGCCCGCAAGGGUAACCCAGCAACGCCGCGUGGAGGAUGAAUGUCGUAAGAUUGUAAACUCCUGUUAGAGGGGAAGAAUAGUACCGGUUGGACCGGUAUAUGACUGUACCCUCAGAGAAAGCCCCGGCUAACUACGUGCCAGCAGCCGCGGUAAUCCGUAGGGGGCAAGCGUUGUCCGGAUUUACUGGGUGUAAAGGGCGCGCAGGCGGGAUAAAAAGUCAGUGGUGAAAUCCUACAGCUUAACUGUAGAACUGCCUUUGAUACUUUUAUUCUUGAGUUCGGGAGAGAGAGACGGAAUUCCAGGUGUAGUGGUGAAAUACGUAGAUAUCUGGAAGAACACCAGUUGCGAAGGCGGUCUCUUGGUCCGACACUGACGCUGAGGCGCGAAAGCGUGGGGAGCAAACA
rnacentral:rRNA from 1 species